CAGGGACAUGUUGUCCUCGCGUCUCGUCCCCGCUGAAGAGAAUCCUUCAUUACAAAACGAGAGACACCCAGGAGACAUUUUGCGAUCCCUUGUAGUGUAGCAGCUAAUGCUAACAUGCUAGGAGACAGCUCCCUGCUCGAGCGGAGGGGAAAUGAGGCUGUUAGCAUUAGCCUGCUAGCGAACGGAGACGACAAGUCCCCCGCAUCUGAAAACGUUACCCCGCCGAGCAGUGACACCCGAGCCGCCGCGAAGCGACGACACAUACGUCCGAUACCACGCGUAACAUUAACCGCGCUGUGUUGAGAUUAUCUGGUUGUUUGAUAGCAGGUUAGCAUAGCUAGCUCCAGCGAGCUGUGACAAUGGAAUGCUACGAGGCUACCAGUUAGCCCGCAGCUAGCUUCGUCCUCCCAACACAAAACACACAAACGUCAGACAACGUGCGGCUCCCGGUUCCGGUUCUACGGGGCGACGCGUUUUGGUUACGGUCAAUCUGUAAAAGCCUCUCGCACAUCGUGACCAACAUACCUCCGCUACUUCCCCGGAGUCCGAGCUCUGCUCCGGGGCUCCGCAGUCUGAGCUCCUCCGGGCCUCCGGGGCAUGAAGAACCGAGUGCACCCAGACGUCAGAACCGGGAGAAUCCCGUCAAACGCCCCCCGACAUGUCCACAAACGUCACCGAUAAAACACAGCGAGGUGGCCGAGAGUCAACCCGCCAGGCGCGGGGUUAAAUGCGGCCAGCUAGCCCUUCUGCUGCGUCCGAGAGGAGGCACCAUCCGCCGGGGACCACAAGACAGAGGCGGCCGGAGUCAGACGGAGGAUCCGCUGGGUUUCAUCCGCAUCGCUGCCGGUGUAGUAAAGGGGGGCGGGGGGGAGAGAGAGAGAGAGAGAGAGAGAGAGAGAGAGAGAGAGACCUGAGGUUGACGCUCCGGAGGUAAGAGGCGAGCUCGGCUCCUCUCCUCCUCCUCGGGAGACCCAGGACGUGGUGCGGACCCGCUGGAGAGAAGGGGGGCCCUCGGGGACCCGGUCUGUGGAAUGAGCGCUUCUCUAAAGGGACGCUGGCGGAGGACCCGGGCUUCUGGUCUCCGUGGACUGGUCCUGAUGAUGAUGAUAUUAUAGGAACAUGGUGAUAAUCAGAGGCAACGCUAAAACAAUAGUAUGUAUCAAAAUCAAUAAAUAAAACGACAACAGUUUU